AGAAAGGACAGCACCUUGAGACAUUCCUGUAUAGAUUUAAGAAAAGUACAGAGCUUCCAAAACCUCGACCUGGGAAACAAGAAAGGAGAGAUUCCGGAGCAUCAUUAUUGUCGAAUUCGAGUCUUAAGUUAUGCCAGACAAUGUUUGAGAACAACGCUAAUGGUAUAGAUACGCGUGACCAUGUGGACGGUGACUUGUUGGUAGAAAAGUCAAG